UCUCUAUGCGGUGCCAGCAGCCGCGGUAAUACGGAGGAUCCAAGCGUUAUCCGGAUUUAUUGGGUUUAAAGGGUGCGUAGGCGGUCCUAUAAGUCAGUGGUGAAAGACGGCAGCUUAACUGUCGCAGUGCCUUUGAUACUGUAGGACUUGAAUCUAUUUGAAGUGGGCGGAAUAAGACAAGUAGCGGUGAAAUGCAUAGAUAUGUCUUAGAACUCCGAUUGCGAAGGCAGCUCACUAAGUUAGUAUUGACGCUGAUGCACGAAAGCGUGGGAUCAAACAGGAUUAGAUACCCUGGUAGUCCACGCCCUAAACGAUGAUAACUCGAUGUUUGCGAUACACAGUAAGCGUCCAAGCGAAAGCGUUAAGUUAUCCACC
rnacentral:rRNA from 1 species